CUCAUUAUUUAAUAGUCUAAUAAUGUUGUGUUUGUGCAGACUGCUCAAAAAAACUGAUAAUCCAAGUCAAUUCAACAGAUCAGUGUUUCUGGAAGGAAAGUAGCUCAACAGUUCCAGAUAUAAAACAGACAUGUCUAUCAUAUAAUAACGACAAUAAUUUUAACUUGAAUGUCACACUAAACAUCUCUUCUCUUGGACAAUGCAGAUCAUACAGUUUCAACAUAACAAAACAGGGGGAGAAUUAUGAAUUAAGAAUGAACGAGACGGUUGAAGGCAUAAAACUGUGGCUAUUGACAAAUGAUUAUUGUUUGCCAUCACUUCUGAAUUCAGCAGGUGUGUAGGGUGUUAAUGGUGAAGUUUGUGAGUUUUGUUGUUCUUUUUAGUGCACAAUAACCCCUACAGACCCACACAACACCACAUGAGAACAAAGCUGUCCAGAAUGAUUGAUCAAUGAUCAAUGCAAACCAAAAUCAGAUCCUAACACACUUAAGACCAGAAUUAUCU